rnacentral:tRNA from 1 species
GGCGAACUGGCCCAAUGGUCAAGGCGCUUGACUACGACUAGUUCCAUCAAGAGAUUGCAGGUUCGAGUCCUGCGUUCGUCA